rnacentral:rRNA from 1 species
GACGAACGCUGGCGGCGUGCUUAACACAUGCAAGUCGAACGGGAGUAUUGAAGAAGCUUGCUUUAGAGAUACUUUAGUGGCGGACGGGUGAGUAACGCGUGAGGAGCUGUCCUAUGCAGGGGGACAACAGCUGGAAACGGCUGCUAAUACCCCAUAAGCCGAGAGGUAAAAGGAUCAAUCCGGCAGAGGAGGUACUCGCGUCCUAUCAGCUAGUAGGUGAGGUAACGGCUCACCUAGGCGAAGACGGGUAGCCGGCCUGAGAGGGCGAACGGCCACACUGGAACUGAGAUACGGUCCAG